AGACCCGAAACCCGGUGAUCUAGCCAUGGGCAGGUUGAAGGUUGGGUAACACUAACUGGAGGACCGAACCGACUAAUGUUGAAAAAUUAGCGGAUGACCUGUGGCUGGGGGUGAAAGGCCAAUCAAACCGGGAGAUAGCUGGUUCUCCCCGAAAGCUAUUUAGGUAGCGCCUCGUGAAUUCAUCUCCGGGGGUAGAGCACUGUUUCGGCUAGGGGGCCAUCCCGGCUUACCAACCCGAUGCAAACUGCGAAUACCGGAGAAUGUUAUCACGGGAGACACACGGCGGGUGCUAACGUCCGUCGUGAAGAGGGAAACAACCCAGACCGCCAGCUAAGGUCCCAAAGUCAUGGUUAAGUGGGAAACGAUGUGGGAAGGCCCAGACAGCCAGGAUGUUGGCUUAGAAGCAGCCAUCAUUUAAAGAAAGCGUAAUAGCUCACUGGUCGAGUCGGCCUGCGCGGAAGAUGUAACGGGGCUAAACCAUGCACCGAAGCUGCGGCAGCGACGCUUAUGCGUUGUUGGGUAGGGGAGCGUUCUGUAAGCCUGCGAAGGUGGCCUGUGAGGGUUGCUGGAGGUAUCAGAAGUGCGAAUGCUGACAUAAGUAACGAUAAAGCGGGUGAAAAGCCCGCUCGCCGGAAGACCAAGGGUUCCUGUCCAACGUUAAUCGGGGCAGGGUGAGUCGACCCCUAAGGCGAGGCCGAAAGGCGUAGUCGAUGGGAAACGGGUUAAUAUUCCCGUACUUGGUGUUACUGCGAAGGGGGGACGGAGAAGGCUAUGUUGGCCGGGCGACGGUUGUCCCGGUUUAAGCGUGUAGGUGUGUGUUCCAGGUAAAUCCGGUUCACUUUAACACUGAGGCGUGACGACGAGGCACUACGGUGCUGAAGCAACAAAUGCCCUGCUUCCAGGAAAA
rnacentral:rRNA from 1 species